GACAAGAGGAAAAAUAAGGGAGGUUGAGGAUGUUAAUGGGAAGAUGAGGUUAAUUUGAUAGUUUGUCUUCUCAGAAAUAGACUCUGACUCUCCCUGUUGUUGACUCUCCUUCCCUCAAAGCCUGUUUAAAGAAAAAUCAUUUACAAGUCUUUUCCUGCUCUUGACACAGGCAAAAACAUGACCCAUCUGCUAAACCUGGGUUUACAUGAUCUCUCCAAAAGAGGAGGAUUAGGAUCAGGAUUAGGACAGAGACCGAUGCACGGAUCUUUAGUUUCCCGAUGUCCUAAACUUCGGAUUUCCUCGCUGCCAGUCUUCCCCUGUCAUUAGCUCAUUCCUGACGACUUCCAUUCCAACCUCCUAAAUCAUAUACAGGUUUAAACUCAUCCCUUCGUCCUUCCUCCACAAGUGAUUCCCAAUACAAGACGAACCAGUAUGUCACAACAAGAAGGUAGCUGCUGAUUUUCACCUGAUUCUUCAGCCACAGACACCAGGGUUGUGGACAAGGUCAACUGAGGAAAAUAAUUCCAGUAUUACAAAGAAGAAGAGGUCCCUAAAGUCAACCAUAAGCCAGUUUUAUCCUCCCAUGGGUUGAUGUGGUGCAGAAAGCAAAGGAAGCAGCCUGCUCCGCUCCACUCCUUCGCUCUGCCCUGGGGAGCUCUCCCGCCCCAACGGCGGCAGGCCGGGACGUCUGGCAUCCAGAGGAGUGGGAAAACAAACAGCUCUCACAGUCCCAAUUCCACUUUUUGCCUCCUCUUUGAAACCAGAUUGGCUCAGCGUGCUGGCUGAAUGUGCCUUUUCGUCGGCGCAGUCUUCCUGGCUCCUCAAUAAAUGGACUCCCAAACCUGAAGGCA
rnacentral:lncRNA from 1 species